rnacentral:rRNA from 1 species
UACGGCAGAAUUACCACCUUGUAGCCUGGACUUGUGAGAUCUCAGAAGCUAAGGCUGGGCCGGUUCAGUACUGGGGAUGGAGAUCUCCAAGGAAAGGCAGGCUGCUGCUGUGA